rnacentral:rRNA from 1 species
UACGUAGGGUGCAAGCGUUAAUCGGAAUUACUGGGCGUAAAGCAUGCGCAGGCGGUUUUGUAAGUCUGACGUGAAAUCCCCGGGCUCAACCUGGGAAUUGCGUUGGAGACUGCAAGGCUAGAAUCUGGCAGAGGGGGGGUAGAAUUCCACGUGUAGCAGUGAAAUGCGUAGAUAUGUGGAGGAACACCGAUGGCGAAGGCAGCCCCCUGGGUCAAGAUUGACGCUCAUGCACGAAAGCGUGGGGAGCAAACAGG